UUGUGCACAUUGUAUAAAAGGCAGUGAUGCCAUGUGAAAAUCCCAUCGGAAAUUAUGAAAAAUAUUAACAAUGAAGAGAGGAAAUGAAAGUUUGGAGAAAUUGGAGGGAAAAAUGCUCAAACACCCCCCCUAAACUUUCAAAUAGUGGCCGUAACACCUCCUGAAUUUUAAUUUUGGCCAAUUUACUCCUUAAACUCUAAACACCUGCCAAAUCAAUACAUCUGUUACUCUUCCGUUAAUAAACUAAUGGUAAAACUCACGUGAGAGGCACGUGGGAAUAAAAGCUAAAGCUAAACAGCCUGAACCGUUGAGAGAGAGGGAGAAAGUUUGAGCUUAGUUUAGAGAGAGGGGAGAUGAUCCAACCAGAAGUCCAUAAUCACCUCAGUAUCCUCUCUCCGAUGCCGGAGUUCCACCGUCAUCUCACUGGCUGUUCACCGCUGGUAAUCAUAAUGUAUACUGUUGGAGAAGAACAAAGUUGCAAUGCACAUAGAGGAUCCCUAAGUGGCAUGGAGUACAUAUCAAUAUAUUUUACCAAAAUGUCAAACUCGUUUGUCAUAUGGAGAAAAUCAAUCAACAUGAAGGAGAUGUUUUCAGUGGCUUUUGUAAAUCUGGACUCUAGUGCCAGCUUACUAUAUAUACAUUGCAGUGACUAUCUAUGUAGGAGCCCCAAAAAAAGGGCUUGUGAUGUAAUAUACCUACCUAUUUAGAUUAGAUGUAAUAUAAUAUAAAAAUAUUCACAACUAUGUAAUGUUCAACUUAUGAAA